CUACGGGGUGCAGCAGUGGGGAAUAUUGCACAAUGGGCGCAAGCCUGAUGCAGCAACGCCGCGUGAGGGAUGAAGGCCUUCGGGUUGUAAACCUCUUUUAGCAGGGAAGAAGCGAAAGUGACGGUACCUGCAGAAAAAGCACCGGCUAACUACGUGCCAGCAGCCGCGGUAAUACGUAGGGUGCAAGCGUUGUCCGGAAUUAUUGGGCGUAAAGAGCUCGUAGGCGGUUUGUCACGUCUGCUGUGAAAAUCCAAGGCUCAACCUUGGACUUGCAGUGGGUACGGGCAGGCUAGAGGGCGGUAGGGGGGAUGGGAAUUCCUGGUGUAGCGGUGGAAUGCGCAGAUAUCAGGAGGAACACCAGUGGCGAAGGCACAUCUCUGGGCCGUAACUGACGCUGAGGAGCGAAAGCGUGGGGAGCGAACAGGAUUAGAUACCCGUGUAGUC
rnacentral:rRNA from 1 species